rnacentral:rRNA from 1 species
UACGUAGGGGGCAAGCGUUGUCCGGAAUCAUUGGGCGUAAAGCGCGUGUAGGCGGUUUCGUAAGUCUGCUGUGAAAGUCGGAGGCUCAACCUUCGAAAGCCGGUGGAUACUGUGAGACUUGAGUACGGAAGAGGAGAGUGGAAUUCCUGGUGUAGCGGUGAAAUGCGCAGAUAUCAGGAGGAACACCGGUGGCGAAGGCGGGUCUCUGGGCAUCUCCUGACGCUGAGGCGCGAAAGCGUGGGGAGCAAACGGG